rnacentral:rRNA from 1 species
CGUAGCAAUACGUUUGUAAAGCGGCGAACGGGUGAGGAAUACAUGGGUAACCUACCCUCGAGUGGGGAAUAACUAGCCGAAAGGUUAGCUAAUACCGCGUACGCUCCUUGGACUUCGGUUCAGGGAGGAAAGCGAUACCGUGGGUAUCGCGCUCUUGGAUGGGCUCAUGUCCUAUCAGCUUGUUGGUGAGGUAACGGCUCACCAAGGCUUCGACGGGUAGCUGGUCUGAGAGGACGAUCAGCCACACUGGCACUGCGACACGGGCCAGACUCCUACGGGAGGCAGCAGUAAGGAAUAUUGCGCAAUGGGCGAAAGCCUGACGCAGCGACGCCGCGUGGGGGAUGAAGGUCUUCGGAUUGUAAACCCCUUUCGGGAGGGAAGAUGGAAUGGGGUAACCCAUUCGGACGGUACCUCCAGAAGCAGCCACGGCUAACUUCGUGCCAGCAGCCGCGGUAAUACGAAGGUGGCAAGCGUUGUUCGGAUUUACUGGGCGUACAGGGAGCGUAGGCGGUUCGGUAAGCCCUCUGUGAAAUCUCCAGGCUUAACCUGGAACAGUCGGAGGGGACUGCUGGGCUAGAGGACGGGAGAGGAGCGCGGAAUUCCCGGUGUAGCGGUGAAAUGCGUAGAGAUCGGGAGGAAGGCCGGUGGCGAAGGCGGCGCUCUGGAACGUUUCUGACGCUGAGGCUCGAAAGCGUGGGGAGCAAACAGGAUUAGAUACCCUGGUAGUCCACGCCUUAAACUAUGAAUACUAAGUGUCGGCGGGUUACCGCCGGUGCCGCAGCUAACGCAUUAAGUAUUCCGCCUGGG